rnacentral:rRNA from 1 species
UUUUAUGGAGAGUUUGAUCCUGGCUCAGGAUGAACGCUGGCGGCGUGCCUAAUACAUGCAAGUCGAGCGAACGGACGAGAAGCUUGCUUCUCUGAUGUUAGCGGCGGACGGGUGAGUAACACGUGGAUAACCUACCUAUAAGACUGGGAUAACUUCGGGAAACCGGAGCUAAUACCGGAUAAUAUUUUGAACCGCAUGGUUCAAAAGUGAAAGACGGUCUUGCUGUCACUUAUAGAUGGAUCCGCGCUGCAUUAGCUAGUUGGUAAGGUAACGGCUUACCAAGGCAACGAUGCAUAGCCGACCUGAGA